GCAAGAUUAAAACUCAAAGGAAUAGACGGGGACCCGCACAAGUGGUGGAGCAUGUGGUUUAAUUCGAAGAUACGCGAAGAACCUUACCUAGCCUUGACAUUGAUAGAAUCUUCCAGAGAUGGAGGAGUGCCUUUAGGGGAACUUGAAAACAGGUGCUGCACGGCUGUCGUCAGCUCGUGUCGUGAGAUGUUGGGUUAAGUCCCGCAACGAGCGCAACCCUCGUCACUAGUUACUAACAGUUAGGCUGAGGACUCUAGUGAGACUGCCUUCGUAAGGAGGAGGAAGGUGAGGACGACGUCAAGUCAUCAUGGCCCUUACGGCUAGGGCAACACACGUGCUACAAUGGUUAGGACAGUGAGAAGCGAUACCGCGAGGUGGAGCCAAUCUAUAAACCUAAUCUCAGUUCGGAUUGUAGUCUGCAACUCGACUACAUGAAGCUGGAAUCACUAGUAAUCGUAGAUCAGCUAUGCUACGGUGAAUACGUUCCCGGGUCUUGUACUCACCGCCCGUCACACCAUGGGAGUUGAUUUCACCCGAAGCGGGGAAGCUAAACUGGCUACCCUCCACGGUGGAAUUAGCGACUGGGGUGAAGUCGUAACAAGGUA
rnacentral:rRNA from 1 species